rnacentral:rRNA from 1 species
AGUUUGAUCCUGGCUCAGGACGAACGCUGGCGGCGUGCCUAACACAUGCAAGUGGAGCGACGAACCAGGGCUUGCCCUGGAGCAAAGCCGCGAACGGGUGAGUAACACGUGGGUAACCUGCCCCAAUGAUCGGGACAACCCGGGGAAACUCGGGCUAAUACCGAAUGUGCUCUGGAGCUUCAAGGCUCUCGAGGAAAGGAAGCUUCGGCCUCCGCAUUGGGAUGGGCCCGCGGCCCAUUAGCUCGUUGGUGAGGUAACGGCUCACCAAGGCUACGAUGGGUAGCUGGUCUGAGAGGACGAUCAGCCACACUGGGACUGAGACACGGCCCAGACUCCUACGGGAGGCAGCAGUGGGGAAUCUUGCGCAAUGCGCGAAAGCGUGACGCAGCAACGCCGCGUGGGGGAAGACGGCCUUCGGGUUGUAAACCCCUUUCAGUUGGGACGAAGCUCCGUGGGUUAACAGCCGACUGGAGUGACGGUACCUUCAGAAGAAGCCCCGGCUAACUACGUGCCAGCAGCCGCGGUAAUACGUAGGGGGCAAGCGUUGUCCGGAAUCAUUGGGCGUAAAGCGCGUGUAGGCGGCUCGAUAAGUCUGCUGUGAAAGUCCAGGGCUCAACCCUGGAAUGCCGGUGGAUACUGUCGGGCUAGAGUCCGGAAGAGGCGAGUGGAAUUCCUGGUGUAGCGGUGAAAUGC